GAUGAACGCUGGCGGCGUGCCUAAUACAUGCAAGUCGAGCGAACAGACGAUGCGCUUGCUCCUCUCACGUUAGCGGCGCACGUGUGUGUAACACGUGUAUAACCUCCCUAUAUUUCUGGUAUCUCUUCGGGAAUCCGGAUCUAAUACCGUAUAAUCUCUUGCUCCGCAUGGUUCAAUAGUGAAUGACGGCUUUUCUGUCACUUCUCGAUGGUUCCGCGCCGCUUUAGCUAGUUGGUAAGUUAACGGCUUACCACGGCGACGAUGCGUAGACGACCUGAGAGAGUGAUAGGCGACACUGGAGCUGAGACACGGUCAAGACGACUAAGGGAGGCAGCAGUAGGGAAUCUGAGGCAAUGGGCGAAAGCAUGACGGAGUAAGGGCGCGUGAGUGAUAAAGGUCUUCGGAGCGUAAAACUCGGUUAUGAGGGAAGAACAAAUGUGGAAGGAAAUAUGCAGGGAGUGACGGUAAUGAAUCAGAAAGCAACGGCUAACUACGUG
rnacentral:rRNA from 1 species